rnacentral:rRNA from 1 species
GAUGAACGCUCGCGGCAGGCCUAACACAUGCAAGUCGAGGGAGAGGUUACCUUCGGGUACCCAAAACCGGCGCACGGGUGCGUAACGCGUAUACAAUCUGCCUUUCACAUAGGGACAGCCCGAAGAAAUUUGGAUUAAUACCUAAUGGUAUAUAAGAGCGGCAUCGUUUUUAUAUUAAAGCUACGGUGGUGAAAGAUGAGUAUGCGUUCUAUUAGCUAGUUGGAGAGGUAACGGCUCCCCAAGGCGACGAUAGAUAGGGGUUCUGAGAGGGAUGUCCCCCACACUGGUACUGAGAUACGGACCAGACUCCUACGGGAGGCAGCAGUGAGGAAUAUUGGACAAUGGUAGGAAGACUGAUCCAGCCAUGCCGCGUGCAGGAGGAAGGUCCUAUGGAUUGUAAACUGCUUUUGUAAGGGAAGAAUAAGGAGUACGUGUACUUUGAUGACGGUACCUUACGAAUAAGCAUCGGCUAACUCCGUG